GCGCCCGUAGCUCAGUCAGAAGAGCGGUGGAGUGGAACGGUUAUCCACAGUCCCGGGUUCAAGUCCCGGCGGUCGCU